rnacentral:tRNA from 1 species
UCCCUGGUGGCUCAGAUGGUAAAGAAUCUGUCUGCAAUGCAGGAGAGCCAGGUUCAAUCCCUGGGUCGGGAA